AUGGAUGUUCAACCCAGGUCACAGACAAGAUUGGUUGAUCACCAGAUAAGCACAGCUGAGCAGUUGAUAAGUGAUGUUCUUGUAGAGGCUGAUGCUGGCUCAUUUGGCACUAUCUCUAAUUGGAGGUACAAUGCACCGCAACCUAGUGCUGAGCAAUCCUAGAUGCAAAUUGCUAAGAACUGGGUCAUUCCUUUGCAUUUGCCUCCCGGUGAUACUUCAACUGAAAGAACACUGUAUAUUCAUGGUACUGCAGAGCGAAUUGAAAUAGCAAAGCAGCUUGAGUGA
rnacentral:rRNA from 1 species